rnacentral:tmRNA from 1 species
GGGGUCGACUGGUUUUGACAGCGAGAUCAAUCGAACAGUUAGCAUGUCGAGCAAUGAAUUACAGCUCGUUAAACUUGUAUUCAACCUUUAAUAGGCGAGAAUAACUACGCUCUAGCUGCAUAAGUAACUGAAUUAUAGUAAGUUACCGCCAAGUCUCAACUAGGUUGAGAAGCCGGAUGUCUCUUGAAAGCCCUUGUUGACGGCGUUCAAAAUAGAGGCACCAUAAAUGUCAACAUCGAAAUUUGAAGGUGCCGGUCAAAUUUUUCAAUAAAGGUACUAAGGUAUAAGUGGGCCGUUUUUAGUCAGCUUACAUUCGAAAACCAAUUAAAAACUAAACAUGUAGAAGGCUCUUCUAUUGCUUGUUUGGACGAGGGUUCGAUUCCCUCCGACUCCACUA